UUUGGUUCUGUUCUGCUGUAGCUGUGGUAGUGCUCAGCUACUGAUAUGUGGUGCUCAUUCUUUGAGUUCAUUCUUUGCUGAAUCUCGUUUGGCAGAGAAUACCUCUAGAUUUUUUGCAAGGUGGCAAAUUUAGAGCAGCAGCAGAUAAUUACAUUAGGCCUCCCUUAACUAAGGGAGUUCCAUCUCUUUUCUCUGAUCUUUCGUCUUUGUAUAAUCACCCUGGGAAGGCAGACAUUUUGGAAUAACUUAUUCUUGUAUUUUUUCACAGCGCUCUUCAAGCUAAGGUAUAUUAAAGAUCAGAUAGCGAAAGGUAAUUUAGUAAAGGAGGAAUUCAAGAAAUUAUUGUAGCAUUUAUACUGAGCAUCGCAUCUGCUAAAAUAAAUAAAUAUGUCAAAGAGGUUUGAGAUUCAUCAAGAGAAUAAUGAAGGAAGUGGCGGCAAGAGUAGUAAUGAUAAUGAGGGUGAGAAAAAUUCAUUUGACAUGAAUGAAGGAGCGGCUAUGAGUGAUGAUGAGGAAUUGGAAGAAGAGAAUAAUAAUGAAGCAAAGGAGGAGGAGGAGGAUAACAAUGAAGAAGGGAAUUCAGCAAACCCAAGUAGCAGCAGCACAGCAUCAAGAGAAGGGAAGAGAGGGAGUGGUGUGAGACAAUAUGUGAGAUCAAAGAUGUUAAGGCUUCGUUGGACUCCUAAUCUUCAUCUCUCCUUUGUCCAUGCUGUUCAGAGGCUUGGAGG